CUUUCCUUGACGACGACUGGCGCACGGGUGAGUAACGCGUAUCCAACCUUCCCAUGACCACGGGAUAACCCGUUGAAAGACGGCCUAAUACCGUAUGACGUCGUUUGCCGACAUCGAAAGACGACCAAAGGUUUGGCGGUGAUGGAUGGGGAUGCGUCUGAUUAGCUUGUUGGCGGGGUAACGGCCCACCAAGGCUACGAUCAGUAGGGGGUUCUGAGAGGAAGGUCCCCCACAUUGGAACUGAGACACGGUCCAAACUCCUACGGGAGGCAGCAGCG
rnacentral:rRNA from 1 species